GUGUCAGCAGCCGCGGUAAGACGAAGGAUGCAAGCGUUAUCCGGAUUCAUUGGGUUUAAAGGGAGCGUAGGCGGACUUGUAAGUCAGUGGUGAAAUCUGUGGGCUUAACCCACAAACUGCCAUUGAUACUGCAGGUCUAGAGUACAGUUGCCGUUGGCGGAAUAUGACAUGUAGUGGUGAAAUACUUAGAUAUGUCAUAGAACACCGAUUGCGAAGGCAGCUAACGAAGCUGUAACUGACGCUGAGGCUCGAAAGUGCGGGGAUCAAACAGGAUUAGAUACCCCAGUAGUCC
rnacentral:rRNA from 1 species